GACGACGCUGGCGGCGUGCUUAACACAUGCAAGUCGAACGGUGACGAGGAGCUUGCUCCUCCGAUCAGUGGCGAACGGGUGAGUAACACGUGAGUAACCUGCCCCAGACCCUGGGAUAACAGUUGGAAACAGCUGCUAAUACCGGAUACGAGACGGAGAGGCAUCUCUACCGUCUGGAAAGAUUUAUCGGUCUGGGAUGGACUCGCGGCCUAUCAGCUUGUUGGUGAAGGUAAAGGCUCACCAAGGCGACGACGGGUAGCCGGCCUGAGAGGGCGACCGGCCACACUGGGACUGAGACACGGCCCAGACUCCUACGGGAGGCAGCAGGUGGGGAAUAUUGCACAAGUGGGCGAAAGCCUGAUGCAGCGACGCCGCGUGAGGGAUGACGGCCUUCGGGUUGUAAACCUCUUUCAGCGAGGGAAGAAGCGAAAGUGACGGUACCUGCAGAAGAAGCACCGGCUAACUACGUG
rnacentral:rRNA from 1 species